UUAAUUAUAGUUUAAUAAACAUUAGGCUGCAAUCCUAAAAUUAUCAUUU
rnacentral:tRNA from 1 species